rnacentral:lncRNA from 1 species
UCCCGGAACAAAAAGCAGGAAUCUUGUCCAUCCUUUUUGCUUCUCUGAUACAUGAUAAAUGUUUAGAUCAAGGCCCUUUAAAGAUGUUCUCAAUAGCUUUAAACUAAAGCAUAAAAUAACACAAGCUAUUUCACUUUCUGUACCAAAUUUAAGAGUCAAACGGACAGAUAUUUUGAGAGAAGAGAGGAACCUUGAGAUCGAGAAGAAGAUGCUGGUAGUGGAGGUAGGUGGAAGUNGAUGCUGGUAGUGGAGGUGGAGGUGGAAGUGGAAGUUCAGCGGCAGCAAUGGCGGAGGAGUAUGAGUAAACAAAUGAAGAAGAUAGCUGUUCUGGGACCCACCUCGAUGAAGAAGCUCGAGCAAUUCUUCUUGCUGUUAAGAAGCUUUUGGAAACGGAAGCCAUGGGAAUAAUGACAAACUUGGCAUCUAUUGUGAAGCUUUAUCCUCCUCUUCAGAACCUACUUGGCCAAGCAUACUGAACAAGCGCUUGAUCGCAACCUGGCAAUGAGAGAAAAUAAGAUAUCAGAAACAAUUAAAAAUCAAAACAAAACCAGAAAUUGGAAUCUAAAUAGGAUGCAACACUGAGCCCCCAUUAAUCUUGUAUUGAUGCAUUAUUGUUUACAAUAUAUCUGGUGAUCUUAUCCAUGAUUUUACAAUAGAAGAUUACCAACUGAGAGAUCUAAGAAUAAG